UAUUAAUUGUUAUUAAAGUGUUCUAUUAUUUUAUGUUAACAAUUACUCAUUUCAGCCCUUUGUAUUCAGCAUGUCUCUAUCGAAAUAAAUCUACGUUUCUAUGAAAAUUGAAGCUUGUUUUUUUGUGGCUCAUAUAAACUUAAACCUUGUUUAUUUGGCUCAUGUUAGCCUUUGAGUUUGACACGCUUGGUGUAAGACCUGGUUGAUAUCAAAACUAGAGUUCAGAGAUUUGGUGUAUGUGCUUGGCUGAGAAGCCAUAGGGGCGAAACUACCAUCUGUGGGAUUAUGACUGAAUGCCUCUAAGUCAGCAGCGCUGCGGUGUCUCUGUUGGCCUCGGAUAGCCAGGUCCAGUGCAGAGAGCCCCUCAUCCUGGGAAACGGGGUGCGGCUGGAAAGGGGGCCGCCUCCUCGCCUUUCACGCAACGCACAUUUGUGGGGAACCUGGUGCUAAACCAUUUGUAGACUACCUGCUUCUAGGUCGGGGCUUCCUACAUAGUAGAGCAGCUCCCCCGCUGCGAUCUAUUGAAAGACAACCCUUGACACAAGGGUUUGU
rnacentral:ncRNA from 1 species